rnacentral:rRNA from 1 species
GAUGAACGCUGGCGGCGUGCCUAAUACAUGCAAGUCGAGCGAACAGAUGAGGAGCUUGCUCCUCUGACGUUAGCGGCGGACGGGUGAGUAACACGUGGAUAACCUACCUAUAAGACUGGGAUAACUUCGGGAAACCGGAGCUAAUACCGGAUAAUAUAUUGAACCGCAUGGUUCAAUAGUGAAAGACGGUUUUGCUGUCACUUAUAGAUGGAUCCGCGCCGCAUUAGCUAGUUGGUAAGGUAACGGCUUACCAAGGCAACGAUGCGUAGCCGACCUGAGAGGGUGAUCGGCCACACUGGAACUGAGACACGGUCCAGGCUCCGACGGGAGGCAGCAGUAGGGAAUCUUCCGCAAUGGGCGAAAGCCUGACGGAGCAACGCCGCGGGGGUGAUGAAGGUCUUCGGAUCGUAAAACGCUGUUAUUAGGGAAGAACAAAUGUGUAAGUAACUAUGCACGUCUUGACGGUACCGAAUCAGAAAGCCACGGCUAACUACGU